CAGGAUUAGAUACCCUGGUAGUCCACGCCGUAAACGAUGUCGACUUGGAGGUUGUGCCCUUGAGGCGUGGCUUCCGGAGCUAACGCGUUAAGUCGACCGCCUGGGGAGUACGGCCGCAAGGUUAAAACUCAAAUGAAUUGACGGGGGCCCGCACAAGCGGUGGAGCAUGUGGUUUAAUUCGAUGCAACGCGAAGAACCUUACCUGGUCUUGACAUCCACAGAAGUUUUCAGAGAUGAGAAUGUGCCUUCGGGAACCGUGAGACAGGUGCUGCAUGGCUGUCGUCAGCUCGUGUUGUGAAAUGUUGGGUUAAGUCCCGCAACGAGCGCAACCCUUAUCCUUUGUUGCCAGCGGUCCGGCCGGGAACUCAAAGGAGACUGCCAGUGAUAAACUGGAGGAAGGUGGGGAUGACGUCAAGUCAUCAUGGCCCUUACGACCAGGGCUACACACGUGCUACAAUGGCGCAUACAAAGAGAAGCGACCUCGCGAGAGCAAGCGGACCUCAUAAAGUGCGUCGUAGUCCGGAUUGGAGUCUGCAACUCGACUCCAUGAAGUCGGAAUCGCUAGUAAUCGUGGAUCAGAAUGCCACGGUGAAUACGUUCCCGGGCCUUGUACACACCGCCCGUCACACCAUGGGAGUGGGUUGCAAAAGAAGUAGGUAGCUUAACCUUCGGGAGGGCGCUUACCACUUUGUGAUUCAUGACUGGGGUGAAGUCGUAACAAGGUAACC
rnacentral:rRNA from 1 species